UACAGAGGGUGCGAGCGUUGUUCGGAAUUAUUGGGCGUAAAGGGCGCGUAGGCGGUGCGGUAAGUCACCUGUGAAAUCUCCUGGCUUAACUGGGAGCCUGCAGGCGAAACUACCGUGCUGGAGUGUGGGAGAGGUGCGUGGAAUUCCCGGUGUAGCGGUGAAAUGCGUAGAUAUCGGAAGGAACACCUGUGGCGAAAGCGGCUCACUGGACCACAACUGACGCUGAUGCACGAAAGCUAGGGGAGCAAACAGG
rnacentral:rRNA from 1 species